rnacentral:rRNA from 1 species
GUGGGGAAUUUUGCGCAAUGGGGGAAACCCUGACGCAGCAACGCCGCGUGAGUGAUGAAGGCCUUCGGGUUGUAAAGCUCUUUUAGUGGGGAAGAAGCCCUCCAGGGCUAAUAUCCCUGGGGUCUGACGGUACCCACAGAAAAAGUUCCGGCUAACUACGUGCCAGCAGCCGCGGUAAUACGUAGGGAGCAAGCGUUGUUCGGAAUUAUUGGGCGUAAAGAGCGCGUAGGCGGUCUAGUAAGUCCGAUGUGAAAUCCCAGAGCUUAACUCUGGAACUGCAUUGGAAACUGCUAGGCUUGAGUGCGGGAGAGGUGAGUGGAAUUCCCAGUGUAGAGGUGAAAUUCGUAGAUAUUGGGAGGAACACCGGUGGCGAAGGCGGCUCACUGGACCGCAACUGACGCUGAGGCGCGAAAGCUCGGGGAGCAAACGGGAUUAGAUACCCUUGUAGUCC